GAUGAAGAACGUAGCGAAAUGCGAUAAGUAGUGUGAAUUGCAGAAUUCAGUGAAUCAUCGAAUCUUUGAACGCACAUUGCGCCCUUUGGUAUUCCAAAGGGCAUGCCUGUUCGAGCGUCAUUUGUACCCUCAAGCUUUGCUUGGUGUUGGGCGUCUUGUCUCUAGCUUUGCUGGAGACUCGCCUUAAAGUAAUUGGCAGCCGGCCUACUGGUUUCGGAGCGCAGCACAUUUUGCGAUCCAGAUCAACGUACAGCGGCAUCCAAGAAGCCUUAUUUAACGCUCUUGACCUCGGAUCAGGUAGGGAUACCCGCUGAACUUAAGCAUAUCAAUAAGCGGAGGA
rnacentral:misc_RNA from 1 species